GAACGAGAAAGUGGAGCAAUCCAUGAGUAAAGCGGCGUACGGGUGAGUAACACGUGGAUCAUCUACCUCUUAGUGGGGAAUAACCCUGGGAAACCGGGGCUAAUACCGCAUAAUCUCGAGAGAGGAAAGCAGCAAUGCGCUGAGAGAGGAGUCCGCGGCCGAUUAGCUAGUUGGCAGGGUAAAAGCCUACCAAGGCAAAGAUCGGUAGCCGGCCUGAGAGGGCACACGGCCACACUGGCACUGAAACACGGGCCAGACUCCUACGGGAGGCAGCAGUGGGGAAUCUUGCACAAUGGGGGAAACCCUGAUGCAGCGACGCCGCGUGAGCGAUGAAGCCCUUCGGGGUGUAAAGCUCUUUCGGCAGGGAAGAUGAUGACGGUACCUGCAGAAGCAGCUGCGGCUAACUACGUG
rnacentral:rRNA from 1 species